GAUGAACGCUGGCGGCGUGCCUAAUACAUGCAAGUCGAGCGAACAGAUAAGGAGCUUGCUCCUUUGACGUUAGCGGCGGACGGGUGAGUAACACGUGGGUAACCUACCUAUAAGACUGGAAUAACUCCGGGAAACCGGGGCUAAUGCAGGAUAACAUGUUGAACCGCAUGGUUCUACAGUGAAAGGCGGCUUUGCUGUCACUUAUAGAUGGACCCGCGCCGUAUUAGCUAGUUGGUGAGGUAACGGCUCACCAAGGCAACGAUACGUAGCCGACCUGAGAGGGUGAUCGGCAACACUGGAACUGAGACACGGUCCAGACUCCUACGGGAGGCAGCAGUAGGGAAUCUUCCGCAAUGGGCGAAAGCCUGACGGAGCAACGCCGCGUGAGUGAUGAAGGUCUUCGGAUCGUAAAACUCUGUUAUUAGGGAAGAACAAAUGCGUAAGUAACUGUGCGCGUCUUGACGGUACCUAAUCAGAAAGCCACGGCUAACUACGUG
rnacentral:rRNA from 1 species